AUGUUGGUGGAAAACAUGGUUACGAACGCACAUGUUGUUUCGUGUAUUCGUGACCUACAGUUUCUAAAAGGUAUAAAGUUCAUGUGCCUUAUUGUAGCAUAUAUCUCCCUCGCUUACUUUACAAAAAGAAGACAUACAUCUUCCUUUUUUCCAUGGAAGCAUCAUCGAAUUUUAAAGAGUCUGUUUCUAUACGCAUUUAAAGAUGAUAUUAUCGUAUAUUCUCAUUAUACUAUGAGCAUCGUCGAAUUAUACUAUGGUUUGAUAGCUAAUUUUCUCUUUGUUAUAAGGACAAAAAAGGCAUGCACAUACGUAUUAUAUAUGGAAGAUAACGAAAGAUUAGCCUUAUUUGGAAGGAUAUAA
rnacentral:rRNA from 1 species